rnacentral:rRNA from 1 species
ACCCGCACAAGCAGCGGAGCGUGUGGUUUAAUUCGUUGCUACACGAAGAACCUUACCUGGGUUUGACAUAUAGGUUGUAGGGAACUGAAAAGGGACCGACCCUUCGGGGAGCUUGCACAGGUGCCGCAUGGCUGUCGUCAGCUCGUGUCGUGAGAUGUUCGGUUAAGUCCGCUAACGAGCGCAACCCUCGCUGUGUGUUAUAUGUGUCACACGGGACUGCCGGUCUUAAGCCGGAGGAAGGUGGGGAUGAUGUCAAGUCAGCAUGGCCUUUAUAUCCUGGGCUACACACACGCUACAAUGGCCAACACAAUAGGUUGCUAAGCCGCGAGGUGGCGCCAAUCCAUAAAGUUGGUCUCAGUUCAGAUUGUAGGCUGCAACCCGCCUGCAUGAAGAUGGAGUUGCUAGUAACCGCAGGUCAGCUAUACUGCGGUGAAUACGUUCCCGGGGCUU